CGCUUCACUCCUACGGGAGGCAGCAGUGGGGAAUAUUGCACAAUGGGGGAAACCCUGAUGCAGCCAUGCCGCGUGUGUGAAGAAGGCCUUCGGGUUGUAAAGCACUUUCAGUAGGGAGGAAGGUAGUGUAGUUAACACCUGCACUAUUUGACGUUACCUACAGAAGAAGCACCGGCUAACUCCGUGCCAGCAGCCGCGGUAAUACGGAGGGUGCGAGCGUUAAUCGGAAUUACUGGGCGUAAAGCGCAUGCAGGCGGCCUGUUAAGUCAGAUGUGAAAGCCCGGGGCUUAACCUCGGAAUUGCAUUUGAAACUGGCAGGCUAGAGUCUUGUAGAGGGGGUAGAAUUUCAGGUGUAGCGGUGAAAUGCGUAGAGAUCUGAAGGAAUACCAGUGGCGAAGGCGGCCCCCUGGACAAAGACUGACGCUCAGAUGCGAAAGCGUGGGGAGCAAACAGGAUUAGAUACCCUGGUAG
rnacentral:rRNA from 1 species